rnacentral:tRNA from 1 species
UGGCAUAGUUAGUAGAGCAUGGCGCUUGCAAUGCCAGGGUUGUGGGUUCAAUUCCCAC